AGUGGUUAAAUGCUUGGUUGCUAACCAAAAGGUAGGUGGUUCGAAUCCACCAGCCACUU
rfam:Loxodonta africana unplaced genomic scaffold scaffold_12, whole genome shotgun sequence.